AGGAGGCAGCAGUGGGGAAUAUUGGACAAUGGGGGCAACCCUGAUCCAGCAAUGCCGCGUGUGUGAAGAAGGCCUGCGGGUUGUAAAGCACUUUUGUUCGAGACGAAAUCGUGCAGGUUAAUACCUUGUACGGAUGACGGUAUCGAAAGAAUAAGCACCGGCUAACUUCGUGCCAGCAGCCGCGGUAAUACGAAGGGUGCAAGCGUUAAUCGGAAUUACUGGGCGUAAAGCGUGCGUAGACGGCGCAUUAAGUCAGCUGUGAAACCCCCGGGCUCAACCUGGGACCUGCAGCUGAUACUGAUGUGCUUGGAGUCUGAGAGAGGGUGGUGGAAUUCCUGGUGUAGCGGUGAAAUGCGUAGAGAUCAGGAGGAACACUAGUGGCGAAGGCGGCCACCUGGCUUAAGACUGACGUUGAGGCACGAAAGCGUGGGGAGCAAACAGGAUUAGAUACCCUGGUAGU
rnacentral:rRNA from 1 species